GCCAAAGUGGUAUAGUGGUUUGGGCAUUGGACUAUUACUCAGGAGACCAGGGUUGAAAUCCCUGCUUAGCCA